GAACUUGAUGAUCUUAGAGGUGUUUUUGAACCUAAAGAAUUCCCUGAUUCUGUAAUAUAGUAGACCUUUUUAAAACCAGGUACAGCGUGAGGGAGGUGACUUGUCCUGGUGUUACUCCUUUGUAGGUGUCUGCUCCCAGCCCUGGUUGAGUCAGACUAAGAGGGCUGCUGGUUGGAGGCAGCACGGCUGUCCCAAGUAGGGACAGAGGAACAACUUUUUCUGAGCUCUGGGUUCCAAUAGUUGAACGCUGGGGCUCUGCCAACACAUCCACAGCACUACCACUCCUCUGCCAGGAGGGACAUGCUUCCUAGCUGGAGCAGGAAGAAGGAGGGACAUCUGCCUGGGCUUCAAUCACCAGGAGUUGCUGCUGGCCUCCCUGUGCAAGCUUGCCUUUGCUCUCAGCCUCGCUGGCGUUGCGGACGGUUCGGCGUGGCGCUCCCUCUGCUGCGCUAUUCCCGCGCUGCCCCCGGCUCCCGCCAGCUGCGCUGGGCGUGCGGCUCACACGGCAUCCGCGCACAGCUGCCUGCCAAGGGAACACAGCCCCGCUCCCCCCGAGCUGGCUGGGAAAUGCAGGCAGGGAACAAAGACGCUGGCAGGCAGGGAGAUGCGUGGGGAAGAGCGAGACCGGAUUUCUUGGCAAGAAAGAUAUAAAUCCUCUUUCCAAAGGCAACCCAGGGUUUUUGGUUUUUUUUCAUGUGGAGGGCUUCUACCCUUGGAGCAGGGCUGGUGGGAUGGGAGCUUCAGGCUGUGUUGCUGAUAGGAGUUGAGAGGAGAAAAUUAGUUCCCGGCGUUGCUGAUAAAGCCACGUUAAAUCGCAGGCGGUUUUCCCGCUCUGAGCCAGCUGCGGCCCCUCUGUUGUGGGCAGAGCAGAGAUGAACGGGGGCGGUGCAUAGGAGCAAGGAGGCAGCAGGCUCUGGGGAGCUGAGAGGGAACUGGCCCACAGCUGUUGCCUUCCCGGUUCCUGGACUCCUGGAGUCCAGGGCUCCAGCUGAUCUGCUUAUGUUGUCACCUCGAAGGCGGCGCUGUGCCUGGAAGAGCACCAGCCAGAAAGGAAAAAAGGUGGGCCAGGACGGGGGCGGGCUGGGACCCGCGGCAGGGCUGUAGUCUGAGCCAGGAGCUGGCUCUUUCAGGGAUUUCUCUCUGCCUUCUUUUGCAUUUACUGGAAAACUCUUCUGUAAAUGUCUUAAAUUACAUUUAGGCAGGAUUUUUACUGUGCCUCAAACCUUUUGCAAGCAGCAUACCUGUGCUGGAUGACACAAAAACCACAGGGCUCUCCUGCUCCCAGGGAUGCACAGUGAUGUCUGAUAAGGCAAGGGAAGAGCAGCUGGAUAACCCCUCACAACAGUGGUGUAAUUCCCACUGAUGCAUGGCAGAGCAGUCAUCUUUUAAAGCUGUUUUAACACAUCAUGCCCAGUGUCUGGGCUGAAGCUGCAGCUCUCCCUUGAGGCAGCAGAAGCAUUUACCUCUCACACAGCUGCUGCUUUCUGUUUACAAGCAACUGAAGGGCAGAGGGGACAAGAGCAGUAAGGAGCUGGAGAUGUGUCACAAAGACUAGGCUGUGCCUUGGGUCCCUUUCCACGGUACCUUCUGCCUCCUAUGAAUGCCAAAGUCUGCAGUGGCUGAGCUCAGGAAGAAACAACCCACAAGUUUCACACAUCAGGAAAUUCCAGGUUUACACAGGCUGCUAGAAAAUACAUACAACACAAUAAUCAGAUUUGUUUUAUUAAAAAACUUGCAAUAAAAUUCCUUGGAAUUCACCGUCUUAACUUUAAGAGUUGUAAUAUUUUACUAGUACGUAAUAACACAGUCUCACAUAUUUACAUUAUAAUCCUCUAUAUAACAAAAAUAGCCAUGUUGGACUACUGAAUAAUGCUUCCAAGUAUUAGCCACAACAUUUUGGUAUUUCCCCCAGCUGAGUCACUGUCUGUGCUCUUUAGCAUUUACAGUAUCUAACAAAGCAAGGACACAAAAUAAUAAAAAGUAUGUCUCAUGAUUUCAAAUCCCUUUAAGAUGGUAGUUCUCUGACUCCCACAUUUUUCAAGAGAGAUAAAGUGCAUUGGAGAGGAGGAUGUAUACGUUACAAAAUGUCAGUGAAGAGUUAAAAGUUUAUUUGCAAGACUGUACAGAAGGGAAAAAA